rnacentral:rRNA from 1 species
AGAGUUUGAUCCUGGCUCAGAUUGAACGCUGGCGGCAUGCUUUACACAUGCAAGUCGGACGGCAGCACAGAGAAGCUUGCUUCUUGGGUGGCGAGUGGCGAACGGGUGAGUAACAUAUCGGAACGUACCGAGCAGUGGGGGAUAACUAAUCGAAAGAUUAGCUAAUACCGCAUAUCUUCUGAGGAAGAAAGCAGGGGACCAUUUGGCCUUGCGCUGUUUGAGCGGCCGAUAUCUGAUUAGCUAGUUGGUGGGGUAAAGGCCUACCAAGGCGACGAUCAGUAGCGGGUCUGAGAGGAUGAUCCGCCACACUGGGACUGAGACACGGCCCAGACUCCUACGGGAGGCAGCAGUGGGGAAUUUUGGACAAUGGGCGCGAGCCUGAUCCAGCCAUGCCGCGUGUCUGAAGAAGGCCUUCGGGUUGUAAAGGACUUUUGUCAGGGAAGAAAAGGGCGGGGUUAAUACCCCUGUCUGAUGACGGUACCUGAAGAAUAACCACCGGCUAACUACGUGCCAGCACCCGCGGUAAUAC